rnacentral:rRNA from 1 species
AUGGCGUCCGCCAUAUCUGCGGGGCCCACGCCGCCGGCCGCGGCGCCGUCGUCGGUGGAGUGGCACCAGCGGCCGCCGAACCCGAAGAACCCGGUGGUGUUCUUCGACGUGACCAUCGGGUCCAUCCCGGCCGGCCGCAUCAAGAUGGAGCUCUUCGCCGACGUCGUCCCCAAGACCGCCGAGAACUUCAGGCAGUUCUGCACUGGCGAGUACAGGAAGUCAGCUAUUCCACAGGGGUAUAAGGGUUGUCAGUUCCAUCGAGUGAUCAAAGAUUUCAUGAUUCAGGGAGGUGACUUCGUAAAGGGUGAUGGUAGUGGAUGCAUAUCAAUAUAUGGUACCAAAUUUGAUGAUGAAAAUUUCAUUGCGAAGCAUACUGGCCCUGGCCUGCUCUCCAUGGCGAACAGUGGAGCUAACUCUAAUGGAUCUCAGUUCUUUUUAACUUGUGCAAAGUGUGAAUGGCUGGACAACAAGCACGUGGUUUUCGGGAGGGUGCUGGGAGAUGGUCUGCUUGUGUUGCGGAAGAUUGAAAACGUAGCGACUGGACCAAACAACCGGCCAAAGCUUGCCUGUGUGAUUAGCGAGUGUGGCGAGAUGUAA